rnacentral:rRNA from 1 species
AUGGCGGCCAACGGCGGGUCGCUGGAGCGGCGGGGCUCCAUGCGGCGGUCGGGGAGCAAGGCGAAGGAGGAGCCGGCGGCCGACCAUGGCGCCGAGGAGCACGCCUCGGGACCUUCCGACAUUGAAGUGAUCAAGGAGAAGUUCGGCAAGCUGCUGCUCGGGGAGGACAUGUCGGGGUCCGGCAAAGGCGUGCCGUCCGCGCUAGCCCUGUCCAACGCCGUCACUAAUCUUGCAGCUGCUGUGUUCGGCGAGCAACGCAAGUUGGAGCCCAUGGCCCCCGACAGAAAGGCGAGGUGGAAGAAAGAAGUGGGCUGGCUCCUGUCCGUGGCAGAUCAGAUCGUGGAGUUCGUCGCCAAGAAACAAGUCCUGGACAACGGCGUCGAAAUGGAGGUGAUGGGCACGCAGCAGCGAAGGGAUCUGCAGUCCAACAUACCGGCGUUGCGCAAGAUCGACGCCAUGCUUCUCGAUUACCUGGACGCCUUCAAGGACCGCACCGACUUUUGGUACGUAAAGCGCGACUCGUGCUCGGACGCCGAGAAAGAGGAGUCUACAGAGAAGUGGUGGAUACCCAUCGUGAAGGUCCCUCCCAACGGGCUGGCCCCGGCGUCCAGAGCCUGGAUCCAGCACCAGAAGGAGCUGGUGAACCAGGUGCUCAAGGCGGCCAUGGCCAUCAACGCCAACUGCCUCAUGGAGAUGGCCAUCCCAGAGUCCUACCUAGAGUCGCUGCCCAAGAACGGGCGGGCGAGCCUCGGGGACGCGCUGUACCGGAUCAUCACGGACGUGGAGUUCGACCCGGACGACUUCCUGUCGACGGUGGACCUGACGUCGGAGCACAAGAUCCUGGACCUCAAGGACCGCAUCGAGGCGUCGGUCAUCAUCUGGAACAGGAAGGUGCACAACAAGGACGGCAAGUCCUCGUGGGGCUCCGCCGUCAGCCAGGAGAAGCGUGAGCAGUUCGAGGAGCGGGCGCAGACGCUGCUGCUCAUCAUCAAGCACAGGUUCCCCGGCAUCCCCCAGUCCACCCUCGACAUCGCAAAGAUACAAGAAAACAGGGACGUGGGAUUUGCUCUCCUGGAGAGCUACUCCAGGGUCCUCGAGAGCCUCGCCUUCAACGUCAUGUCCAGGAUAGAGGACGUGAUCGUCGCCGACAACGUGGCCAGGGAGAAGGCCAAGAAGGACGCGCCGGCCGGCUCGAGCUUGGAGGCGCCCCCCCAGGUCCCCGACGGGGCAGACAGCAUGACGCUGCUCGACUUCAUGGGCUGGAACGGCGACUCGGAGGGGAGGCCCGACGACCAGUCCCCGUCGGCGGUGGACCCGGCGCAGGACGACGGGAGGCUCAUGAAGCUGCCCAACAUCAUGACCAACCUUUUUAUGAAAACGACACAGUGA